rnacentral:rRNA from 1 species
ACGUAGGGGGCGAGCGUUGUCCGGAAUCAUUGGGCGUAAAGCGCGUGUAGGCGGUUUCGUAAGUCUGCUGUGAAAGUCGGAGGCUCAACCUUCGAAUGCCAGUGGAUACUGCGAGACUUGAGUCCGGAAGAGGAGAGUGGAAUUCCUGGUGUAGCGGUGAAAUGCGCAGAUAUCAGGAGGAACACCAACGGCGAAGGCAGCUCUCUGGGACGGUACUGACGCUGAGACGCGAAAGCGUGGGGAGCAAACAG